rnacentral:rRNA from 1 species
GCCCUUAAAGGAAGAUUAAUACCGCAUAACCCAUAGCUUCCGCAUGGAAGCAAUGGUAAAGAUUUAUCGCUUUGAGAUGGACCCGCGGCGCAUUAGCUAGUUGGUGAGGUAACGGCUCACCAAGGCCACGAUGCGUAGCCGACCUGAGAGGGUGAUCGGCCACAUUGGAACUGAGACACGGUCCAGACUCCUACGGGAGGCAGCAGUGGGGAAUAUUGCACAAUGGGCGCAAGCCUGAUGCAGCAACGCCGCGUGAGUGAUGAAGGCCUUCGGGUUGUAAAGCUCUAUCUUUGGGGACGAUAAUGACGGUACCCAAGGAGGAAGCCACGGCUAACUACGUGCCAGCAGCCGCGGUAAUACGUAGGUGGCAAGCGUUGUCCGGAUUUACUGGGCGUAAAGGGUGCGUAGGUGGAUAUUUAAGUCAGAUGUGAAAUCCCUGGGCUCAACCCAGGACCUGCAUUUGAAACUGGAUGUCUAGAGUGCGGGAGAGGUAAGUGGAAUUCCUAGUGUAGCGGUGAAAUGCGUAGAGAUUAGGAAGAACACCAGUGGCGAAGGCGACUUACUGGACCGUAACUGACACUGAGGCACGAAAGCGUGGGUAGCAAACAGGAUUAGAUACCCUGGUAGUCCACGCCGUAAACGAUGAGUACUAGGUGUAGGGGGUAUCGACUCCCCCUGUGCCGCAGUUAACGCAAUAAGUACUCCGCCUGGGAAGUACGAUCGCA